UUUCCGUAGGUGAACCUGCGGAAGGAUCAUUCAUAACAAGUGUUUUAUGGCACUUUUUUAAAUCCAUAUCCACCUUGUGUGCAAUGUCAGGGUUGAUUUUUCUCUCGAGAGGGACAGCCCCAAACAUCAACUUUAUCUCAACUCUUUGUCUGAAAAAUAUUAUGAAUAAAACAAUCCAAAAUACAACUUUCAACAACGGAUCUCUUGGCUCUC
rnacentral:misc_RNA from 1 species